CCUACGGGAGGCAGCAGUAGGGAAUCUUCCACAAUGGGCGAAAGUCUGAUGGAGCAACGCCGCGUGGGUGAAGAAGGUCUUCGGAUCGUAAAACCCUGUUGUUAGAGAAGAAAGUGCGUGAGAGUAACUGAGCACGUUGCGACGGUAUCUAACCAGAAAGCCACGGCUAACUACGUGCCAGCAGCCGCGGUAAUACGUAGGUGGCAAGCGUUAUCCGGAUUUAUUGGGCGUAAAGGGAACGCAGGCGGUUUUUUAAGUCUGAUGUGAAAGCCUUCGGCUUAACCGGGGUAGUGCAUUGGAAACUGGGAGACUUGAGUGCAGAAGAGGAGAGUGGAACUCCAUGUGUAGCGGUGACAUGCGUAGAUAUAUGGAAGAACACCAGUGGCGAAAGCGGCUCUCUGGUCUGUAACUGACGCUGAGGUUCGAAAGCGUGGGUAGCAAACAGGAUUAGAUACCCCUGUAGUC
rnacentral:rRNA from 1 species